CACGUGCUAAUCAGCUAGCCCCUAACAGAGUAGCUUUGGCAGUCCGUGAACCAAUAGUUGAUAACUUGCAACUAAUCAUACACGGGGUCUUGGGCAAAACCUAACGAAACAUUGGCCUUAGGCCUCCAAAAAAUUUGGAAAAAAUUACGUAGAAAAAAAUCUCCAAAAUUUUUUUUUAGAUCCCCAAAUUUACAAAAAAAAAAUUUUGCUGAAAUUUUUUAAAAACUGUCUACAGCCCCAUGAAUCUCAAGGCCGGCCCGGAUCA
rnacentral:lncRNA from 1 species